rnacentral:rRNA from 1 species
CCACGCCGUAAACGAUGAGUGCUAAGUGUUAGAGGGUUUCCGCCCUUUAGUGCUGCAGCUAACGCAUUAAGCACUCCGCCUGGGGAGUACGGUCGCAAGACUGAAACUCAAAGGAAUUGACGGGGGCCCGCACAAGCGGUGGAGCAUGUGGUUUAAUUCGAAGCAACGCGAAGAACCUUACCAGGUCUUGACAUCCUCUGACACUCCUAGAGAUAGGACGUUUCCCUUCGGGGAACAGAGUGACAGGUGGUGCAUGGUUGU